rnacentral:rRNA from 1 species
GUGGGGAAUCUUGCGCAAUGGGCGAAAGCCUGACGCAGCAACGCCGCGUGCGGGAUGAAGGCCUUCGGGUUGUAAACCGCUUUUACCAGGAAGGAAAAUGACAGUACCUGGAGAAUAAGGUGCGGCCAACUACGUGCCAGCAGCCGCGGUGACACGUAGGCACCAAGCGUUGUCCGGAUUUAUUGGGCGUAAAGAGCUCGUAGGCGGUUCAGUAAGUCGGGUGUGAAAACUCUGGGCUCAACUCAGAGACGCCACCCGAUACUGCUGUGACUUGAGUCCGGUAGGGGAGUGGGGAAUUCCUGGUGUAGCGGUGAAAUGCGCAGAUAUCAGGAGGAACACCAAUGGCGAAGGCACCACUCUGGGCCGAGACUGACGCUGAGGAGCGAAAGCGUGGGUAGCAAACAGGAUUAGAAACCCUAGUAGUCC